rnacentral:rRNA from 1 species
GACGAACGCUGGCGGCGUGCUUAACACAUGCAAGUCGAACGGAGUGGCGAACGGGUGAGUAACACGUGGGUGCACUUCCCUGCACUACGGGAUAAGCCUGGGAAACUGGUACUAAUACCGGCGAGUGCGGGCUGGGCCCAGGGCCUAGCAGCUUGUUGGUGGGGUAAUGGCCUACCAAGGCGGCGACGGGUAGCCGGCCUGAGAGGGUGGACGGCCAAAUUGGGACUGAGACACGGCCCAGACUCCUACGGGAGGCAGCAGUGGGGAAUAUUGCACAAUGGGCGGAAGCAUGAUGCAGCGACGCCGCGUGGGGGAUGACGGCCUUCGGGUUGUAAACUCCUUUCACCAUCGACGCGGUAGAUGGAGAAGAAGCACCGGCUAACUACGUGCCAGCAGCCGCGGUAAUAC